AGCAGUAGCAGCAGCAUCAGCAGCAGGAGCAGCGACAGCAAUCGAGGCGCUGAUGGAUGAAAACACCAAAAGCACCUAAAACGACGCGAUGACCGCUCUCUAGGAAGGAGUAAAGAGGUGUCAAAUAACCUCAAAUAACCUACAACGAAAGUUCGGUUGACGAUACGGUAAAUCACAAAAAAGAUAAUCGCUCUCAGGUUUCUCUCUGAUUUCUACACAGAAAAAAAGGUAAUUCAACGAGAAACAUGACAUUUCCAUGUUAAAAGAAAACCGAUAAAAUAUUAAGAGUUUAUCUACUUAUGCUGAGAUUGCCGUGAUACAAAGAUGCUGACUAUUGCAAUAAAAUGUGACUUGCUGUUCAAAACAUUGGGUAAAACAUAAUCCAACAAGGAAUUUGAAGCAUUAUGUUUCAAGUUUGGUUUAGAGCUGGAUGAAGUAACAAUGGAAAAGCAAAUGAUAGCAAAAGAGUAGGGUUUUGAUCAAGAUACAGAUGCGUCCGAAGAAAUUAUCAACAAGAUUAAUAUACUUGCCAACAGAUAUGAUCUAUUAUGCUUGGAAACUCUAAAUAUUGGACUACUUAUAUUUUUGCAUAAGUAAAUAUUAUGUAAUUUAUAGUUUAGAUUUAAAAAAUCAUUUCUUAAAUUUAUUCAAAGAUAAUAUUUCUAACAAAAUUACG